GCGAGGGUGGCGGAAUUGGUAGACGCGCUAGCUUCAGGUGUUAGUGUUCUUACGGACGUGGGGGUUCAAGUCCCCCUCUUCGCACCA
rnacentral:tRNA from 2 species